CCCAGCACAGGGCUGGAUGUGGCAGCCAGRCUUCCGGCUUGGCAGACACGAAGUGGACACCUUUCCACUGGACGCUCUCUGGACUCCAGGGUCUGUGCUCCACGGGCAGCCACCAGGCACCUGCCGUGAGCAAGACGCGCACCGGAGGAUGGAGAUGUCCGUGUGUAUUCAAAGGAAAUGAAACCAGCACGUCAAAGAGAUGCCCACACCGCAGCAGCCUCACACCAGCAAAGAUACGGAAUCCACUGAAGUGUCCACCAACGGAUAAACGGCAGGUUGAGCCAAUGCUGAUGCCCAGGAAAACAUACUGUGAUGAACCAGCCAACCAAAGACCCUGCGCCACUGUCCUACGGCCCAGAAAGGCUCAGCACACAGCAGACAGCCAGGGUGCCCGCCGGGGGGCUCUCCCUCGGAUCUACCCAUCUGGAAACAGGGGUCACUCUUCUGAAAGAAUUCUGUAAAGAUCAUCUGGGGCUGGGCACAGUGGCGCCUGCCUAAGAUC